GGAGUAAAAGUCGUAACAAGGUUUCCGUAGGUGAACCUGCGGAAGGAUCAUUAAUGAGUUGUCAUGGGGUUCGAUGCUGGCAGCCAAUUUUUGGAUGCAUGUGCUUGCCCUAACAAUCAUCUUCCAAACACCUGUGCACAUUUUUGAGGGAGUCUUGAGUUGGUUGCCGCUCUUGGGUGAUUUUCUCACAUUCCCUUAAAUCAUUAUACGCUAUUAACAAUGUUGAACGUGCUCUGUGCCGCAAGGCUAUUAAUAUAAUACAACUUUUAACAACGGAUCUCUUGGCUCUC
rnacentral:misc_RNA from 1 species